UAACUACUCCCUCCGUUUUAAAAUAGAUGACUUUCAUUCGUUCAAACAUGCAUGUAUGUAGACAUGUUUUAGUCUAUAUAUACAUGCAUGUAUGGACAAAAUGGAAGUCAUCUAUUUUGAAACGGAGGGAGUAUAUA
rfam:Triticum aestivum genome assembly, contig: Triticum_aestivum_CS42_TGACv1_scaffold_576994_7BL